rnacentral:rRNA from 1 species
UCAGGAGUGAACGCUAGCGAUAGGCUAACACAUGCAAGUCGAGGGGCAGCACGGUGUAGCAAUACACUGGUGGCGACCGGCGUACGGGUGCGUAACACGUAUGCAACCGUACCGCUAUUCGGGGGAUAACCCGGCGAAAGUCGGACUAAUACCCAUAUUAUUCUUACCGGGCAUCCGGUAGGUCUGAAAGAUUUAUCGAUUGCGGAUGGGCAUGCGGAUGAUUAGCUAGUAGGUGGGGUAACGGCUCACCUAGGCGACGAUCAUUAGGGGUUCUGAGAGGAAGGUCCCCCACACUGGAACUGAGACACGGUCCAGACUCCUACGGGAGGCAGCAGUGAGGAAUAUUGGUCAAUGGGCGCUAGCCUGAACCAGCCAAGUCGCGUGAAGGAUGACAAGAUUCUAUGGUUUGUAAACUUCUUUUGCAGGGGAGUAAAGUGCGACACGUGUGUUGUAUUGCAAGUACCCUGCGAAUAAGCAUCGGCUAACUCCGUGCCAGCCGCAGC